UAAAAAUGAUGCAUUUAUGAUAUAAAUAUGUGGGGGAAUUCUGCAACCAUAUUGAGAUUGAUUGCAUUGCAAAACAUCAAAAGCAGUUCACAGCCAUAGAAGAAGUGAUUUUUGAGGAUGAAGCUUGUUACAAAUGUUCCCUUACUGUGUUUCUACAUGGCAAGCAUGGAGAACAGGCAUACCUACCAUUCUACGAAACUAAUGUUUUCCAUGCUGUGGUGGAAAACCUGGGCCUUGACCUUUUAGGGAUUGUAUUCAGAGAGGGGAUGUUAAAGGUGGAAGACCAACUGGAAUUAUUCAGUCAAUGCCUCUCAUGCUACAGACAGGAGAGCGGAGGCCAGUCGCGCUAAGAGACACAGUGACCACAGAAACAGAACUGUCUGGACUUUGAAGUGCUUCAGGAAUCCUGGGGAUCCAUGAGAACUCCGAGGCCCUCUGAUCCUUGUUCAUUGCAAGGUAAUUUGGUUUUAUUUUUCCUCUCUCUCUGGUGUUCUGAGCCUCCACAGAUAUAUGUGGGUUUUCAUUUCAUUUCUUGUCCUUGGCAUUCAGCGGUAUCUUUCAGUGUUACCAUUCAAUGUUAUCAUUCACCUGUGGGAGUUAUCUUCUGUCUAUAUAUUUUUUACGAUUUCUUUUCUGUGAUAAUUUCUGUCAAUUUACCAUUUAAAAAAUUCCUUUUAGUCUCUUGUUGGGCAUCCAGAAUUGAUUCUCUGUUUCUUUCAUAUUUCCUUCAGACUUUCCAUCUGUCUUUUUUUUUUUUUUUUUUUUUUUUUUUUUCUUCCUUCCAGAGAUUUCCUAGGUGUUAUCUUUCAACCCUGUCACUGAUUCUUUGAUUUGUUUUGUUAGUCACCAUAGCUGUCACUUCCAAGAGGUCUUUCAAGAUAACUGGUUUUCUGUUUUCACGGGCUCUUAUGCUUGUUUUAUGUAAAUAACGUCUCAAAUCUCUCUAGAUACUAACUAGAAUGUUACUUGUUUUUAAGUUUCUUUUUGUUUCGUAACUUCUCUUUGUUCUAACUCAAAUGAUUCGAGUUUUAGUUUUGGUUUUAACUUGAUCUAUUUUUUCGCGAUCCAAACUUCCUCAAAGAGCUGGAGGUGAUUUAUGGCUCUUGGCUGCUUCGAGAGUGUACAUGGGGUUUCUUAACUGAUAGUUUUCACACUGUGAAAAGAAGAGAGCAGGCCAAUUAUGUUUCAGGAACCCCCACUGCCCACAUGUAGAGGUCUUCGUGCUGGAGGAACUGAUGUCCAAAGACUCUGUUAAAUCAUCUCAGAUAAUGUAUUGAAUUCCCCUGUGGAAGUAGCCUUUGAAUUUUUUUUUCUUUUCUUUCUUUCUUUCUUUCUUUCUUUCUUUCUUUCUUUCUUUCUUCUUUCUUUCUUUCUUUUUUUUUUUUAAUGAGGUGGAGUGCAAAUAAGGGCUUCACAGGUGGCUGCAUGUGGUUGAGAAAAUUAGAGAAUGUAGAAUGAGCUCAACCGCCUGGAUUUAGAGUUUCAGUCAGACAACUCUGGGUCUGAAUCGUCAGCCUCUCCAGAGUUCUGCUUCAGGCUUCAUGCUACUUUCCUCUCCUCUGGAGCCUUCUCUGCUCUAUGCCACCCUUUCUUCCUACGUCAUGCACUCCUAUCUUAGUUUUUCAUCUUUCAUCAUUUAGUUAAAAGCCCUUGGUUUUUUUUUUAACACAUUCUCACUUUUCCUCCUUUUUAUUGCAUAUUUGUAAUGUUUUAAGCCAUUUUACUAUCAUUUCAGUGGGACUCUCAGAAGGUAGGAGAAGAUAAGCCUGCAUGAGCUCACUAGGUAAAGAGUAGAGCAAUACCGGGCAAACGCUGCGCAGGAUGCUGAGGGGGAAGGUCUCAGAGAUGGGAAACCUGGACAAGCCUGGAGGACAAGGACAUGGGAGCAUGAAGUUCACAGACUUUCCAAACAAGUGGGAUACAAACAUGACAAAAUUGAAAUUGAUAGAGAUACGGAAGAAGAAAAAACCUGAAAACGCUUCCUUUCAAAACAACAACAAACACGAGGUGCCUGGGUGGCUCAGUUGGUUGAGCGUCUGGCUCUUGGGUGUCAGCAAAAAUCGUGGUCUCUUGGGUUGUGGGAUCGAUCCGCCUGGGCUCCACACUCAGCUUGGUGAGUCUCUCCCUUUGCCCCUCCUCUCUCUUUCACUGUCUUUCUCAUAAAUAAACAAAUCUUUAAAAAUGUAUUUACAUAAAACAUGGUGAUGGUAUACAACCUGUUGACUUGAUACAUUUGUAUAUGGCAGUAU